rnacentral:tRNA from 1 species
AUUUAUCUAAUAUAUUAAAGUAUAUUUGACUUCCAAUCAAAAAGUUUGUUAAACAAGAUAAAUU